AACGGUGAAAAAAGGGAAAAGAAGAAUAAGAAGAAGAGGAAAAUCUCCUUGAAUCCUAUCCCCCUUCCCUCCUUGAAAACCUCCUUUGUUUCGUUCCCCUGAAAACCCUAUCAUGACAAACUUAAUCAGACAUAGAUCACAAGUGCUUUUCCCUUUCCACUUUCUUAGUCGAAUAAUUCACUGCAAUUCGUUUAUUAUGCCUAACUUACAAUGAUGAUAAAACUUGUAUAAAAGAUGCAAUGAAAGCAGGGAAGCUACUUGAAAGAGUUGAGGAGGAGAAAGAAGGUAAAAAUUGAAAACGCCUUGCUGAUGACUUCACUAAACUAUUAUACACUUCGAAGGUUUGGAAAUGCUGCACAUAGUCUUGUCUUCUGACUCUUGUUGAGUCUACUGUGCUAGUUUAUGCUGUCUUAUAGGAGAUAAAUGCAUCUGCUAGAUGGGAUGAUUGCAAACAACUUUUUGACAAAAGCUAGGAGUACAGGAAAAGACUAAAGAGAACCACGGGCGUUGGGAGGAAAAGGUGCCAACAUUACCUCCGCUUCUUAAGAAAUCUAUUGGACCCUUGCUGGAUGCUGCUGCCUUGGGAAAUCUUUGUGUUCUUCUUUUGCAGAACUGCGGCAUCUUGUGUUCUGAAUUUAUGAGAUUUUUUUCUAGAGUUCAGUUCCAUAUUUAUUUUAUUUUCAGCUAGAGAGAGAAGUGGAAAGAGAAAGAAAAAAGAGGAGGAGAAGGAACGUUAAAGGGAAAAGGGAAAGGAAAGAACAAAAAAGGAUGAAACAGAUGGUGAACAUGUUGAUCCAACUGAAAACUAUAGCCGUAAAGAGGGCAAAAAAAGGGAAAAAGACAAGGAUAGGAAACAUUGGAGUUGGCAGGCAGUGACAGUAAAAAAUCAACAAACAUGUACAAGAAAUUUGUGAUUGUAAUUAAAAUAUGGAAUUCUUCUGAUGUCUUUUAGCAGCAUUCAUACACACCUGAAACGGAUAGUAAAAGCCGACAUAAAAGGCAUAAGAGAGAUCACCAUUAUGGUUCCCGUACGAAUGGUGGGUAAGAGAAGCUAGAAAAUGGGGAGGUCGGUGAGGAUGGGGAAAUUCAUUAGUAUCCUAUUGUCCUUUUGUCUUUAGAUUGCUAAUUUCCAAGAUGUAAUAUUUUUGCAGCUAAUUUUCAGAUUUUGCUAUUGCAUUCGACUUGUUGCAUAUGAUUGUAUUUUUGAUAAAUGAUGCUGUUGUAGAUUUUGGAAAUAGGUUGGUUCA